GGGGAUGUCCCGGAUUCGAUAAUAGCAAAUUAACAGAUGGGCACGCAGUGAGAGAGUCCCUCACUUUAAACAAGAUUCAAAAUUUUAGUUGCAAACAGUAACUACAACCAAGGGUUAGCUUACGCUUAACUCUUCGCUCUCUAGCCGAUACUCACUACGCUAACAGAGCGCCAAUCAGCGAGUUAUAUCUCCGAUUUGUUUCCAAUGCUUUCCAAAUCUGAGCUGAAAAACAAAAAGUAGCGUCGCAGUGAUGGUGUCGUAUCCCUAGCUGUGUCGAAAUCAGAUAUGACUAAGCGUGUAGAUCAUCGUUGAUAGCCCUAUUACACGUGGGUUCGACUCCCACCAUCUCCACCA
rnacentral:tmRNA from 1 species